rnacentral:lncRNA from 10 species
CAAGAACCUUGCCUGUCUUGCACUGCAUUCCUAGAGCCUGGAACAGAAUGCAUUUGAUAAAUAUUUUUGACUAUUGAUGAAUCGAGACUUUUGACGAAUUGGGUGCAGCCCAGGACUUGGGCAAUAGCCCCUGCCUUAAGAAAGGACCAGGGCUCAAGCUCUAGGGUGAGAAGCUGAAGCUGACAGAGAAGUGAGAGUGACUAGAAAGUGAAAGUAAAGCUGAGCAGGGAGGAAAGAACCCCACGGUGUGAAGUCUCUGGGGGAGGGACCAGGCCAAGAGUUCAUUCAACACAGUUGAGUGAGGCUCCUGAGGAAGCCGACGGGUGCCGGGAUAGGCGGGGGAUGUGUGGGCGGGACAGCGAGCUUGACGAAAACGAGAGAAAAUGUGUUUUGUAAUUAGUCAUUGCCCCCUGGGGUGAGGUUGGGAGUUUUCACCGGAGGUGGGUUGACCAGAUUUGCAAAAUGACAAACAGGGGCUAACCGCGGGCUGGGGCCGCAGCGGGGCUUCCGGCCCCGCAGGCAGAAGUCGAGCUUUCUAGUUUUUUCUCUGUCCCGCCCCCCUGCAUUCAAGGUUCCGCCAAAUAGUAGAAACUGGGAGGAGAAAGACUCUCAGGAGACUGCCCAGGGGCCAAACUGCCCUUUCUGACUCCGGCCCCUGCGCUCUGCGUGGUCUCAUGGCCAGGGGAAAGGGGACAGGGUGGCCCUUGCUACUUGGAAGGGUCCAUCCAAGGAUUUUGACUGACUUAACGCUGUGGAGGUUCUGGGGAAAGUUGAAAACAUUCUGAAGAUGGGGGAUCUGGAUGAAAGCUACCAUCCCUCUUUUCCUCCUAAUGAAAAUAGCAGGCUGGGUGAGGUGGCUCACGCCUGUAAUCCCAGCACUUUGGGAGGCUGAAGUGGGCAGGUCACCUAAGGUCAGGAGUUUGAGACCAGCCUGGCCAACAUGGUGAAACCCCGUCUCUACUAAAACUGCAAAAGUUAGCCAGGCAUAGUCUCAGCUACUCAGGAAGCUGAGACAGGAGAAUCACUCGAACCCAGGAGGCAGAGGUUGUAGUGAGCCGAGAUCGUGCCACUGCACUUCAGCCUGGGCGACAGAGCUAGACUCUGUCUAAAAAAAAAAAAAAGAAAAGAAAAAAAAAUAGCAAAGGGAAUGGAGCACAUUUCGGUGUGAAGGUGUGAAGCGUAUGGAAAAGUGGAGGUCAGUGGUUCCCCUACAGGCACUCCUGGGGUGCUGCAACCAAAUGCUAGGACAGAGACCCCCACCCCCACCCCACUGCCGACACAUACACAAAGGGCACACUUUGGUCUCCACUCCUCUAUUUUCCAGAGCAGUGGCUUUCGAACAUUUGAAAUCAAGACCUGCACUAAGAAAUGCGUUCCUAUCUCAACCCAUUACUCAGACAAGCAUACUACCCUGAGGCAAAAACUUUAUGAAAUUAAACGUUCCUUUUAACCUGCACUUCUAUUCUUACAUUCUCUUCUAUUUCCUUUUUUUAAAAAAAAUUCUGGCUGGGCGUGGUGGCUCACGCCUGUAAUUCCAGCACUCUGGGAGGCCAAGGCAUGCGGAUCACUUGAGGCCAGGAGUUCGAGACCAGCCUGGCCAACAUGGCAAAACCCCGUCUCUACUAAAAAUACAAAAAAUUAGCCAGAUGUGGUGGCAGGUGCCUGUAACGCCAACUACUUGAGAGGCUGAGGCUGGAGAAUCACUUGAACCCAGGAGGUGGAGGUCAGUGAGCCAAGACUGUGAAACUGCACUCUAGCCUGGGCAGAGACUAGAGACUCUAGCCUGGACAGAAUGAGACUGUCUCAAAAACAAACAAACAAAAAAAUUCUGUGUAUGACUAUGAUCCCUUAACUUGAUUUCAUGACCCACGAAUGGAUCUCAACCUACAACUGGAAAAACCCACUACUCUGGAGGAGCUGAUUCCGUACUCUGCUGGAUCUUCAAUUCCUGACCGCUGGAAAUUGGCUGCAAUUUUCCUGGGACCUCCAGGAUAAAUGCCAGGAUCCCAGUUACUGGCAGACUGAGAGAAGGAUGACAGCCCCAAAAGAUCACGAGGUUCCUAUCUGUUCAUAUUUGGUGGGCAGCUUUCGUCUGCAAGAACAAAAUACAAGCCGGGUGAGGCGGCUCACAUCUGUAAUGCCAGUACUUUGGGAGGCCGAGGCAGGCGGAUCACCUGAUGUCAGGAGUUUGAGACCAGCCUGACCAACAUGGCGAAACCCCAUCUCUACUAAAAGUACAAAAUUAGCCAGGUGUAGUGGUGCAUGCCUGUAAUCCCAGCUACUCGAGAGGCCGAGGCAGGAGAAUCGCUUGAACCCGCGAGGCGGAGGUUGCAGUGAGCCGAGAUCGCACCACUGCACUCCAGCCUGGGCGACAGAGAGAGACGCUGUCUCAAAAUAAAUAAAUAAAUAAAUAAAUAAAUCAAUAACAAAAUACAUAACUCAAGCAAUUUAAACAGUGAGGGGUAAAACUGAAAUCAC